rnacentral:rRNA from 1 species
ACGGAGGGUGCGAGCGUUGUCCGGAAUCACUGGGCGUAAAGGGCGCGUAGGCGGCUGGGGAAGUCGGCGGUGAAAGCCCGGAGCUCAACCCCGGGUCGGCCGUGCGAACUGCUAGGCUUGAGCACUGUAGAGGCAGGUGGAAUUCCGGGUGUAGCGGUGGAAUGCGUAGAGAUCCGGAAGAACACCGGUGGCGAAGGCGGCCUGCUGGGCAGUGACUCGCAAGAGUCAAUAGCUGACGCUGAGGCGCGACAGCGUGGGGAGCAAACAGGA